rnacentral:piRNA from 1 species
UNUGAGGUACAGGUCAGUAGGCAGAACUA